GACUCUACAGCUCAGUUGGUUAGAGUGCUGCACCGGUAUCGCAGAGCUGCAGAUUCGAUUUCUGCUAGCGGACC